AUUGAACGCUGGCGACAUGCCUUACACAUGCAAGUCGAACGGUAACAGGUCUUCGGAUGCUGACGAGUGGCGAACGGGUGAGUAAUACAUCGGGACGUGCCUAGUAGUGGAGGAUAACUACUCGGAAGAGUGGCUAAUACCGCAUGAGAUCUACGGAUGAAAGCAGGGGAUCGCAAGACCUUGUGCUACUAGAGCGGCCGAUGGCAGAUUAGGUAGUUGGUGGGAUAAAAGCUUACCAAGCCGACGAUCUGUGGCUGGUCUGAGAGGACGAUCAGCCACACUGGGACUGAGACACGGCCCAGACUCCUACGGGAGGCAGCAGUGGGGAAUUUUGGACAAUGGGCGAAAGCCUGAUCCAGCAAUGCCGCGUGCAGGACGAAGGCCUUCGGGUUGUAAACUGCUUUUGUACGGAACGAAAAGCCCUGGGUUAAUACCCUGGGGUCAUGACGGUACCGUAAGAAUAAGCACCGGCUAACUACGUGCCAGCCGCCGCCGUAA
rnacentral:rRNA from 1 species